rnacentral:lncRNA from 1 species
GCAUAUAUCAUAGCGCUAGAAAAUAUAAGUCAAUAAGCUGUUUAAACAAGACACACUCACAAAAGUCUUAUGCACAACUUUGAUGCAUGUAGAUGCCCUAAAGGAGGGUGUGGCUAUGUAAUUCAUUUAUGAAACACUGCAAACUUAGACAGGAAGUUUUUUUUUAAUUUAAUCUAAUUUAAAAUCGCACAGCAUACAUUAUGAUUUAGACUUGAGAGUAUCACCUUAACGUUAAAAUACCAAAAAUAUACUCUUACAUCAUACGGCUCCCUCUAAAAAAAUCUCCAAGGCUAACGCUAGCUGCUAGCAGAAAAGCUCCAGUUUGCAUGCUAGCAAGCUAAUAAUAAUACACUCAGUGUCGGCGUGGUGAGCAGCCGGUUAUCGUUUAUUGUUGUCGGACUGUUACGAGCUCGGGGUCGCUGUCAGGUUUGCUGCGAGACUCAAUUACAGCCCGUGCUAAGCUAAUAUUGCUAGCUCGCUAGCUGUGAUGCUAUGGAGGGAAAUGUCUGCAUGCACACAAGCCAGUUUUCUUUGCAACCGGGACGCCCCACUUUCACUAAGCAGUAAGUUGCGGGAAUUCGUGAUUACAACAGUGUGGAAGCAAUUACCCGUACGUGGCGUCUGCUUCUGUAACUUAUUCCCAGUUCAUAAAAGCGAAAUCAAGCCCACUCCCAUAUUAAUAUAUCUCAGUUGUGGUACAAGCCAGCGAGCCUUGCAGAGACUGACUCAUUUUGUGAGCCUCUGCAACGCCGCCGCCAUGAUCUCUUUGUUGGCUUUGUGCGGAUAAUAGGCGUAAAUAACUUCUCUGGGCAGCCAUCUAUCUGUUUAGCAAACAUCGGAUGCGUAUCCUCUUACCAACACAGACUCGCUUCGUCACUCCCGGCUCUGCGGAGCUCCACUUUUAUUCAGACCGACACGUAAGAGACCGCGUCAGGCUACACCUCCGUCGCGUCACCGAGAACAACAACACGGAGAGGAGGACGAGGGAGACGACGACAGCGAAAAAUCAUCUCUAUCGACAGGGCGCGAGCGAACACGGAAGUGGUCGGAAAGUCACGAAGCUCGCCGAGGGGACGAGGAAGAGCGACGGACAUAGCCGAAGGGGUGAGGGCGAGGGGACGGGCCAAACACGACCCCGCGGCCCGGCCAACGGGCGAACUGGACCGGGCGCCUCCCAAACGCAGCCCGAGGAUCCGAGGAGCGGGACGCGUCCAGGCGGCCGAGGUCUCAUCUGA